rnacentral:rRNA from 1 species
GAACGCUGGCGGCAGGCCUAACACAUGCAAGUCGAGCGGUAACAUUUCAAAAGCUUGCUUUUGAAGAUGACGAGCGGCGGACGGGUGAGUAAUGCCUGGGAAUUUGCCCAUUUGUGGGGGAUAACAGUUGGAAACGACUGCUAAUACCGCAUACGCCCUACGGGGGAAAGCAGGGGACCUUCGGGCCUUGCGCUGAUGGAUAAGCCCAGGUGGGAUUAGCUAGUAGGUGAGGUAAAGGCUCACCUAGGCGACGAUCCCUAGCUGGUCUGAGAGGAUGAUCAGCCACACUGGGACUGAGACACGGCCCAGACUCCUACGGGAGGCAGCAGUGGGGAAUAUUGCACAAUGGGGGAAACCCUGAUGCAGCCAUGCCGCGUGUGUGAAGAAGGCCUUCGGGUUGUAAAGCACUUUCAGCGAGGAGGAAAGGGUGUAAGUUAAUACCUUACAUCUGUGACGUUACUCGCAGAAGAAGCACCGGCUAACUCCGUGCCAGCAGCCGCGGUAAUAC